rnacentral:rRNA from 1 species
AACGAACGCUGGCGGCAGGCCUAACACAUGCAAGUCGAGCGAAGCCUUCGGGCUUAGCGGCGGACGGGUGAGUAACGCGUGGGAACGUGCCCUUUGCUACGGAAUAGCCCCGGGAAACUGGGAGUAAUACCGUAUGUGCCCUUUGGGGGAAAGAUUUAUCGGCAAAGGAUCGGCCCGCGUUGGAUUAGGUAGUUGGUGGGGUAAUGGCCUACCAAGCCGACGAUCCAUAGCUGGUUUGAGAGGAUGAUCAGCCACACUGGGACUGAGACACGGCCCAGACUCCUACGGGAGGCAGCAGUGGGGAAUCUUAGACAAUGGGCGCAAGCCUGAUCUAGCCAUGCCGCGUGAUCGAUGAAGGCCUUAGGGUUGUAAAGAUCUUUCAGGUGGGAAGAUAAUGACUGUACCACCAGAAGAAGCCCCGGCUAACUCCGUGCCAGCCGCCGCGGUAA